rnacentral:rRNA from 1 species
CCCUGCCAUUUGUACACACCGCCCGUCGCUCCUACCGAUUGAAUGUUCCGGUGAGCACUCCGGAGCCGUGGCCUUGCUCGGUGUAAGCUGAGCUUGUCCAAUUGGUGAAGUUGUGCAAACCAUAACAU